GGCGGCCUAUACUAUAAGCGAGUAGUCACUGAUAACUGGAGGUUGCUCGGUCUUGGAUAACUUGCGAACGGGUGAGUCAAGCGUAGGUCACCAGCCUGGUAGCGGGGGAUAACUAUUGGAAACGAUAGCUAAUCCCGCAUAACAUGGAUUAUCGCAUGAUAUUGCAUUGAAAGGUGCAAAUGCAUCACUACCAGAAGGACCUGCGUUGUAUUAGCUAGUUGGUGGGGUAACGGCUCACCAAGGCGACGAUGCGUAGCCCACCUGAGAGGGUGAUCGGCCACACUGGGACUGAGCCACGGCCCAGACUCCUAUAGGAGGCAGCGUUUGGCAAUCUUCGGCAAUAGACUGAAGUCUGACCGAGCUACGCCGCGAGAGUGACGAAGGUUUUCGGAUCGUAAAGCUCUGUAGUGAGAGAAGAACGAGUGUCAAAGUCGAAAGUUCACUCUGUGACGGUAUCUUACCUGAAGGACGGCUAACUGCGUGCCAAGCCGCGGCAAUUCGUACGUCCCGAGCGUUGUCCAAAUUUAUCGCGCGUAACGCGAGCGCCGCCGGUAGAUAAGUCUGAAGUAAAGGCUGUGGCUUACCACGACGCUUUGGAAACUGUUAACUGGUGUAAGGCGAGAGUGGAAUUCCAUGUCUGGCGCUGAAAUGCGUCGAUAUAUAGAGGAACACCGUUAGCGAAAGUGGCUCUCUGGCUUGUAACUGACGCUGAGGCUCGAAAGCGUGAGGGGCCACUGGAUCGAUACUCUCGUAGUCCACGCCGCAAUAUGAGUUCUAAUGUUAGACCCUUUCCGGGGUUUAGCGCUGAGUUACGCAUCCGCACUCCGCCUGGGGAGGUUGUCCACCCAGUUGUACCUAUUGGAUCAGGCUGCCGCCCGCACCAGAUGCGGUUAAAUUCGAAGCAACGAUUACCACAUGUUGACAUCCUUCUGACCACUCUAGAGAUAAAACUUUCCUUCGGGAGAGAGGUGGAAGGUUUUGCUAGAUUGUCGUCGGGUCGUACCUUUAAAUCCCGGGUUAAUUUCU
rnacentral:rRNA from 1 species